GAGCAGCACCGCCCCUCACCCGAUCUACCGCGGUUUUUGGCUGCGUUCAGCCUUCCGGCCCCUUGAGGAGGGCGUGUGCUGUUGAAGAGAGGCCACGCUGUGGCGAGAGGUGCUCCUGGAUAUGCCCCACGGCGGUAAUUCUCGCCGCCAGAAGUGGGAGAGGAGUCUGAAGCUAACUGCUGCCAGUGUUUUACACCAACGUCUGCCACAGUGUCUGGGCACGGAGUACCUGUGUAGGAAAUAGUGCAUGAAUGCUAUUUAAAAUACUGAACCAGCGUGGUUUCUUGUUCCGUGAAUUGUUUUUCCUGCUGUGUCAUGGAACUAGCCAUAUGUGUAUUCAAGAUGAAUGUCUUCUGAAAUGGAUGCCUUGGCAAUCAAAAGCCUAAUGCCAGGGUCAAGAAUCUGGGAAUGAGGCCGGCCGAGUGGAGUGUUGGUUAAGAGCUGGUUUGGGAUGCCAGCUCUGAGCAGCAGGGCUCCUGUUCGG